rnacentral:rRNA from 1 species
AUUGAACGCUGGCGGCAUGCUUUACACAUGCAAGUCGAACGGCAGCGCGGGCUUCGGCCUGGCGGCGAGUGGCGAACGGGUGAGUAAUGCAUCGGAACGUGCCCAGUAGUGGGGGAUAGCCCGGCGAAAGCCGGAUUAAUACCGCAUACGACCUGAGGGUGAAAGCGGGGGACCGAAAGGCCUCGCGCUAUUGGAGCGGCCGAUGUCGGAUUAGCUAGUUGGUGGGGUAAAGGCUUACCAAGGCGACGAUCCGUAGCUGGUCUGAGAGGACGACCAGCCACACUGGGACUGAGACACGGCCCAGACUCCUACGGGAGGCCGCAGUGGGGAAUUUUGGACAAAGGGGGCAACCCUGAUCCAGCCAUGCCGCGUGCGGGAAGAAGGCCUUCGGGUUGUAAACCGCUUUUGUUCGGGAAGAAAUCCUCUGGGCUAAUACCCCGGGGGGAUGACGGUACCGGAAGAAUAAGCACCGGCUAACUACGUG